CAGGCAAAUCUGUACUUGCUGGUGUACAGGCACGUUGUACUUAUGGCUGUUAUUGGUGGCCAUGGAACCUGACCCUGUGUGGUGUUGCUCUCUUUUGAUAGCUUUUUCAGACUAGUUUAAAUAUGUGAGGAAGGUUGCAGUUUUUAUCUGACCCAAUAGAGGUUGCCAAAUUAAUGUGUAAACAGACCUAUUAUGUAGUAACUGGGAGUUAGUAAGUGAACAAAGAAUUCGCCGAUUUUGUCCCUUUUAUCCACUCUCAUAUGCAAACAGCUGCCUGGGCUCUAAUGUAAGCUGAGAGCAUAAGACACACAAAGGAAGUACAGAUUCAGAGACAAUCUGAAUGUCUAGGAAAACUUGAGGAGAUGUGAAGAAAUGAGACCCUCUGUUCAUUUCCAGCACCCCUGCACAGGACAAAGACAUCAGUUCAAUAUUGGAAUGGCCAACAUGGAGAUAAGAAGACAAUUUUCUUCCCCAUGGUUUCAGCAUAAAAGGAUUUAUGCAGCUCCUACUGUUCUCAUUGGGGACUGGCCUGAGUCUUUCUUGCAUAUGAUUUUAUGGCUUGUUUUUUGCAUUACUCAGUGGAUGUUGGCAAUAAGGUUGCACUUUCUGAGUGGCUAAAUUUGUUAAUAUUAAUAGCUAGAGAUACUAAAAGCUGUUGUGCACUGCUGUGAUCAGAUUAGGUUUCCAAGCAAAAUUUUCCUCAACAGAAAUAGCAGUGUGCUUGUCUGUCCUAGAUCAAAACAGCCAUCAGGCUUCCAUUUAAAAUUUCACUAAUUCUGCAUCUGUAUUCUAGUCUGGUUCAAGCCAAAGACCACUGUGUUCAUUAGCAUUUCACAACUUAGUAAUUGCUCUCAAACAUUUUGAGUUUCCAUAGAGAUUGUUGGAAUUAGAUCUAUUGCUUUUCUUAGGAGAAAAACCAGUUCUAUUCAAGAUACUGCAAGAAAACUAACAGGAAAAUACUAAAAAAAAAGAUGAGAGUAUAAAAGAUUGAGAAUAUAUCCCCAUUUAUCAUAAUCUCUUUUUUCCAAAUCUUUACAUAUAUUAAAUUAUUUGUGAAGCCCUCAUUCAGUUAUGCUAGCAGAGGAUAUCAUGACAUUAACUUGCAAAAUUACAUGGAAGGUUAUUGUUCCUCCUUCACUUGUAAAAACCUUCAGUGAUACUGUUAAUCAUCACAGAAGCACUGCAGGGCCCUGAGUUUUGCUCUUUUUAUAUAGGUGAGUGAAACACUGAUUGUUUGAUGUCAGUGUAUUUAUUGGCAAUUUGGAGAUAUUUGUUCUUCCUGACAGGGCCUCUGAAUUUCACUUGGUCUGUAGAAGUAUAACUGGGAGGAAAAUACAGAGAUGCAAGUAUAAGCAACUUUUGCCUUUCCGAAACAAGAGGUCCAAUAGGUUGAUAUUUCAGUUACAGAAAGAGUCCUCAAUUAUUUAAUCUUUUUUUUCUAAUUUAUUAAAUUCCUGUCUUGUUCAUCCAAAUCAACUCCUCUUAGGUUCAGCUGUGUAUUAUUGGUCAUAGGAAGCCCUGGGCAGUCAAAGCACUACAUUAGCUCACCCAGUUGGAAUUAAAAAUGUCUUUGUUACGUGGGAAUUGCAUGUUUUCUUAAUUUAUCUGUUCAGAUGAUUGUCAGUUAGAAAAACUGACAAAGGUUUCUAGAACAAAUGAAGAAUAUUUUACUUUUGCCUGAGGAUAUUCACCCAGCAGAUUCA
rnacentral:lncRNA from 12 species